AUGGAUUGGCCGGGUACCGGACCACACAGCCCUGGCGACGCCUCUGCGCCACAUGCAGAAGUUCUCGAAGUGAAGAGCUCGUUAUGUGGCUCCAUCGUCAGAAGCAUGGACUCUGUGUCUCUCCCUCUCGCUUCAUGGUCUCAAAUCCCCGAUGACAUAACUUGGAACAUCCUCGUGCUGGUUUCACCACAUCCUGUCACCAUUGCAAGGAUAGCAGCCAUGUGCAGGGCGUGGCGCUCCAUUGUCAAGACUAGCAAGUUCCUGAGGACGCUGAUGGAGCAUCACGGAAUAACACCACUCAUGGGUUUUUUCACCAACCUCUCUAGCUCAGAUCGUUUCCUCCCUUUUGAUCAACAUCUAGGUGUUGUCGGUGUCCCUCGAUUCACCCUGCCCAUCUUGUAUCCAGACAACCGCCUCCCCACUCUCUCCACGAGCCACUGGGAGGUUCUUGCUUGCCGCCAUGGUAAGGUUUUGCUGCUUGCAGGGGCCAUACAUAUGCUCUUAGUGUGGGAUCCAAUCACUGGCGAGCAGACAUUAACACGCCCCCACACCGAACUGACCUACGUCCACGGCACAGUGGUAUGUGUCGCCCACCACCACCAUGGAAAUUGUCACUCUUCACCGUGGGUUGUUGUCUGGAUUGUGAACACCGGCCGCGAAAUUAGGGUAAGAAGGUGGUCGUCAGUAACCCAGGCUUGGAAUAUCCCGGAAGCUCAUGUUUGGUUCAACGGCCUGGUUGAUUUCCGCCCAAGCACGUUGAUCGGUGAUGUUUUGUAUUGGAAUUUGACUAAUAACUUCCUCAUUGCCUUCGACAUGGCUGAGAAUCUGCUCCACCCUAUCGAGUUGCCCGAAGCAAUGCCAUCUCUUAAAUUCUGA
rnacentral:rRNA from 1 species